GCCGGGAGAGCUCAGUUGGUUAGUGUAUAGUGCUGAUAAUGUCAAGGUUGCAGGUUUGAUCCCUGUUUUGGACA